rnacentral:lncRNA from 1 species
GAGGAAUAAGAAAAGGAAAUGAGCGUAGGUGAGAACAGUAACAAAUAAAGCGCUGAUGAGUGCUACCCUCUAACAUCUCCUUGACCAGCAGAAGUGAGACAGAGCUAUUUCUCUCUGUCCCAAAACUUGAAGGUUACUUCCUGAGAAAAUGGAGAUGGCUGGAAAGAAAGGGGAGUUUGGAGCUAUGGAAGUUGUUCCGCUGUUGUGGAAUAUGAGGAUCAAGGGAGGAAAGGGUGGUGAUGUUAGAAGGAUGCUCCUGUGAUAAUACGUGCCUCGAUUUAAGACUUCCUACAUUUCUACUGCUGUUUAGCUACAGCUGUUAAAAAAAUGGUACUAUAUCCUCCCUGGAUGACAGUGAAUCAUAUAAAAUGAACCCUAAGGAAACUGUAUGAAAGAGAAAAUGAAGAACGUAAGUAGUGGAAGACAAAUCACAUGGAGUAAUACAGUUACUGUGAACUUCUCAUAUCUUCUCCUUUUAGCCUCCAAACAUAACACUGAAAUUGCUGUACAAGAAACCCCAAUCAGUGAGAGUAUUAUAUGAAACAAUGUGAAAGACAAGAACAGGCUUCAAAGUCAUGUUUCAACUUAUGAACUAUAUGCAUAGUAUUAGGAAAAAUGGAAUCAGUUAUUAUAUUAUUUGCAUG